UACAGAGGGGGCAAGCGUUAUUCGGAAUUAUUGGGCGUAAAGGGCGCGUAGGCGGCCGUGCAAGUGGAAGGUGAAAUCCCUCGGCUCAACCGAGGAACUGCCUUUCAAACUGCAUGGCUUGAGUCCGGGAGAGGGAUGCGGAAUUCCAGGUGUAGCGGUGAAAUGCGUAGAUAUCUGGAGGAACACCGGUGGCGAAGGCGGCAUCCUGGACCGGUAUUGACGCUGAGGCGCGAAAGCCAGGGGAGCAAACGGG
rnacentral:rRNA from 1 species